CCCUUAGAUGUUCUGGGCUGCACGCGCGCUACACUGAAGCUAUCAACACGUUUUCCCUCCCUGAGAAGGGCGGGUAACCUUUUGAAUCAGCUUCGUGGUAGGGAUCGGGGCUUGCAAUUGUUCCCCGUGAACCAGGAAUUCCUAGUAGACGCGAGUCAUAAGCUCGCAUCGAUUAAGUCCCUGCCCUUUGUACACACCGCCCGUCGCUACUACCGAUUGAACGUUUUAGUGAGGCAUUUGGACCGACGCAUCUCAGUUUAACCGCUGGUUUGUGUUGGAAAGACUUCCAAACUUGAUCGUUUAGAGGAAGUAAAAGUCGUAACA
rnacentral:rRNA from 1 species